UACAGAGGGGGCAAGCGUUGUUCGGAAUUACUGGGCGUAAAGGGCUCGUAGGCGGCCAACUAAGUCAGACGUGAAAUCCCUCGGCUUAACCGGGGAACUGCGUCUGAUACUGGAUGGCUUGAGAUUGGGAGAGGGAUGCGGAAUUCCAGGUGUAGCGGUGAAAUGCGUAGAUAUCUGGAGGAACACCGGUGGCGAAGGCGGCAUCCUGGACCAACACUGACGCUGAGGGAGCGAAAGCCAGGGGAGCAAACGGG
rnacentral:rRNA from 1 species